CUGAGGUAUGCUCGGUGUCGCGUCAGCGCACCGGUUACCCGCCCAUAUGUCAUCUGUGCUGGACCCGCCGAGCCUUCGGGCUGGGAAGGGGACAGGAACGUCACUUCGGCCGAGGUGUUGUGUUGUGCCCGAGAGGGAGGACAUGACCGCGGCCGGCCGUAUUUUACACUCUUGUGAGAGCAUGAAGUCUGAAAACAAAUGAAAAUUAAGCA
rnacentral:misc_RNA from 2 species